rnacentral:lncRNA from 1 species
AAAAAACGGUCAUCACACAGUAAGAAGUCCUAUAGUAGUAGCUCCAGCGCUUGAUGAAGCACUUGAUCCCUCUUCCUGAAAUGCUGCAGUUGACAAAACUGUUGGAUAUGUAAGUUUGCAGCUCUCCCCAAGAGAGUUCUGUUAAAUUAACUGGAUUCAUUCUGGCAAAACAGAUGCAUGUUUGAAGUAAUUGUUGAAAAAUGUUUUUAUUUAAGUUAUCAAUAAAGCAAGAUUUUGUUGCUCCUUAAUAUUUUGUUCAUUUCUGUUGAUUUCCUGGGUUACCUAGCAUCAUCUUGCUUCCCUCCUCACCCCCCACUCUCACACCUUACCCAUAAGAAAAAAGGCAAACAGAAUAGAAAUUGCAUACAUUUUAGGUUGUAAAAUGUUUUGUUUUGAGCAAAAAGGCAUUUGUUGUAUUGGAUGUGUUAAGUCCUUAGUUUUGAUGAUUGACAAAUUGUAUGUUGAUGACCUAUUUUCUAGAGAUUGUGUAAUAAUAAAACUGUUAUUACUUAGGAAUAGGUUGGGCUUACCUGUCACAAUCACAGUCAACCUCACAGCUGGACGAAAGUAUAAAAAGUUGGUUAAAAGUUGUUGUCACUUUUUUAUCUCAACCAAUGAGAUUCCUCCUAGGUUUUCCAUAUAUUGCUCCUUUGUUCUAACUAGAAAACCAAGCUUCCAUAUACUUAUUAACAUCUCUCUCUCUCGAAGCUCUUGGAUCAAAGGCUCACUUUGGAAUAGGGAACUGAGAGCUCAUCAAGUUAUGUUUUACUUUCUUGUUGUAUUUGAGUCUUUGUAUUGUGAUCUUAAACGCUGUCUACUUCUACUUGUAUGAUUAUUUAGUAGGUGUUGUGGCGUAACCGCAUUUUAUUGUAAUCAUCUAGAGUUAAGUGCAAAAAGCAUUCUCUCCACUUAUCCCAAAACCUUCCUAAGUUCACUUGGUGGACCUACACCAUACAAGCACUCUCAAACUCAACCCUAAACCUAGUUUGCCUACACAUUGGCUGCCAUGGACACCAUGUCCGAUGGGAUCAACCCAUCGGAAAAUACUCAAAGUGUGAGCGAGGAGUGUAAGAAAGUAUCAUAUACAAGUUUGUUGAAGGAGAAGUCGGCGGAUAAAGUACAUAAUCAAAUUUUCCUAAAAUCGGUAGUCAUGUUUCAUGGAGAGCCCAGUAUUACAUGGAAAUCAUCUGAAAUAAGGGAUCUAAUUCUAAAAAAGAAUUUACAAUGUGCUGUUAUUGAAAUAUUCUCCAACGGAAAACCUGAUAUCACGGAACUGUGAAAACAAAUACCUGUACAAUGCAAUAUUAAGGGGGACUGCAAUAUAAGUGUAAUGGAUUCUAGACAUUCUGAUCAGGCUGAAUAUGUUAGAAGAUUAUGUUAAUUUAAUGUCGACAGCUGCAAUUUAUAUAAAAUUAAAAUAAAGACUGUGGCAGAUGAGAAACCUUAAGUGGGAUCCCUGGUUCGAACCUGAUGUAGAAACAACCAUUGGAGUUACUUGGAUCUCAAUGACGGAUUUACCACCCAAUUUCUUUGCAAAGGAAACUAUUUUUUCAAUAGCUUCUGCAGUAGGUAAACCUUCAAUGGUUGACAUGGCUACUAAAAAGCAAACGAUACCAAGUUGUGCACGUGUGAAGGUUGAACUGGAUCUAGUAGCCAAUUUACCAACAAGAGUUCGAAUCAAUUAAGAGGAUAAUGUUAUAGGGAAAAUCAAAUUGAAAUGGAUAUAUAUUCAUUAUGAUUAUAAACCAAAAUACUGUAAAGAAUGUUAUCUUCUAGGACAUGAUGAAAGCUCAUACUGGAAUAUACAUCCAGAAUCGAUGAAAAAGAAGGACGAAGAGAAGAAAGAAGAUGCUAAAGAUAAAUAGGAAACUGGCAAGGUACAGGAGGUACCAGAGGUGAAUAAUACACAGAGAAGGAGAGGGAUGUAUAAAAGGCAUUGGUCAUUAAAGCAGAACAGGUAUAAAAUGGAUAAAUUUAGCCACAUAAUAGGAGAAGUGCAGAAUGAGGAAGUUAAUAACAUGCCAACAUCUAACACCUUUGAAUCCCUUGUAGAAGAACAUCAUGAAGUGAAGGAUAAUAAAGGUGAUCAAUAAGACAAGGUACAUAAGCAACAAUAAAUCACAGAGAGCACAAAGUAAUGGGUUACUAAUACUUUUAGUAAUCAAGGGCAGCACCAAACAAAAGAAAACAUAGAGAUAUUAAUGAUAAUAAGACGGAAAGAGAGGAUCACAAUGCAUCAGUGCCAGAAUCUCAAAUAGAUAAGAGUCAUAUGCAGGUUCCUGUUCUUCAGCCAGAUAUUCAAAAAGAAGACAUGGAAGUUUUAGAAGAUAUCAUGCCAUUAGUUGUGCAAGUGGAAAAACAAUUACAGUGCAGUAACAAGGAUAAUGCAGUAACGGAUAAAGAUGACUUGGAGGAGACUAUUAAUAGGAUGGGAGUUGAUGGCAACUUAUCACCUAAACAAAUUGAUAGGUUGAAAGAAAAACAAGGCAUCCCAAAGAAGAAUCACAGAGUUGGGAAGACUAGUACAAUGUAGACAAGGAGCUCUAUGAAGAAUAAGUUGGGAUGAAUGCUCUUAUAAGGAAUAUUAGAUCAGUUAAUACAUAAAAGGCUUUGACUAGACUAAUUACAUUGUAUAAAGGGUACCAGUUUGCAUUUGUUGGACUAAUGGAACCUUUUCAAGAUAGUAAGAAUAUUAAAGAUUACAAAAAAAGAUUAGGUAUCCAGACAACAAUCUCUAAUAUUUCUGGUAAGAUAUGGGCUUUCCUGGAAUCCAAUAUAGUGUGUACUAUUUUAAGAAAUGAAUAACAACAAAUCACAAUAAAAUUAGUGAAUCGGGAAGCAGGGAUCACGGUUAUGGUUUCUCUAAUUUAUGCUAAAUGUUCACAAAGAGAGAGACUAGCUUUAUGGGAAUCUCUUGAAGACAUGGCUCAACAAAUGCAAGAACCUUGGCUCAUGGGGGGGGGGGGGGGGAUUUUAAUGUGAUAACUAGUCAGGAAGAAAAAUUGGGAGGCUUACCAGUAAAAGUUGUUGAAACUGAAGAUUUUAGAUAGUGUAUAAGUGUGUGUAAUGUAGAGGAUCCAGGUUUUAAAGAGAGCAAGUUUACCUGGUGAAAUGGUAGAACAGAUGAAGAGUUUUAUAUUUGAAAGGCUCAAUAGAAUUCUGAUCAAUGAGAAAUUACUUCAUAUUUUUCCAAUAUUGGAAGUUGAACAUUUACUUAGGAGUGGAUCUGACCACACUCCUUUAAAAAUCAACUUCAGCACUGUGAAAGAGUCCAUCAUUAAACCUUUCAGGUUUCUAAAUAUGUGGUUGAAAGAGAAAUCAUGCUUGAAAAUUAUUCAGGAGAAUUGGAAGACUGAUAUUAUGGGAAAUCCUUUUAUUUUGUUUCAUCAAAAAAUGAAAAAAGUAGAGGCUGCUUUAACUAAAUGGAAUAGAGAUUGUUAUGGUAACAUUUUCCAAGAGAUAUCUACAUUGAAAAAAGUUAUCAAGGUUAGAUAAAAGCAAUUUAAAGAAUAUCUAUUAGGUGCAAAUAGGGAAUUGCCAUUUAAAGAUCAGGCUAUGCUAAGUCUAUAGCUUGGAAGGAAAGAGGAGUUUUGGAGGAAAAAGGCUGGAGUAGACUGGUUUAAAGAUGGUGAAAGAAACACAAAAUUCUUUCAUAUAGUGGUUAAAGGUAGAAGAAUCAGACUCAAGCUCAAUAGGACUCAAAAUGAGGAUGGAGAGUAGGUGGAAGAACCAAAUCAAAUUACAGAGACUGCUGAACAAUUUUAUCAGAAGCAGUUUUCUAAAGAAGAUCAUAAUAAUGAUUUUUAGAUGCUUGAACAUAUCCCUACUAUUGUUAAUGCAAGUCAGAAUGUGGAUAUUGAUAAAUUACCUGACAUGUAAGAGGUGAAAGAAGCAGUUAUGCAUUUGAAUAAAAGCAGCACAAUAGGACCAGAUGGCAUGACAGAGACAAUUUUUCAGGAUAUAUGGGAAAUAAUUAAGGAGCAUGUAUAGCAAAUGGUUCUAGCUUUCUUUAGUGGAUAUCAGUUACUAAAAUUUGUCACACAUACAAAUUUGGUGCUACUCCCUAAGAAGCUAGCAAUUAAUACAUUUCUUGACUUGAGACCUAUUUCAUUAAGUAAUUUUGUCAACAAAAUCUUCUCCAGAAUUUUGCAUGAAAGACUUAAGAAGGUUUUGCCACAUGUUAUCUUUGAAGAAAAAGCAGGAUUUGUUCAAGGGAGGAGUAUUGUAGAGAAUAUAUUAAUGGUGCAGGAGAUUAUAACUGACAUUAGAAAAAGAGAUAAAAUUCCAAAUACAGUCAUUAAGCUUGACAUGAUGAAAGCUUAUGACAGAUAAAUUGGCUAUUUCUCACUAAAGUCUUAAGGAAAGUUGAAUUUAGUGAAUUGUUAAUUGACAGGGUGUUUAGGAUUUUGGACAAUAACUAGUACUCAAUAUUAUUGAAUGGCCAGCCCAAAGGGUUUUUCAGGUCUACAAAGGGUUUAAAGCACGGUGACCCUUUAUCACCUAUACUUUUUUAUCAUUGCACUGAGGUAGUUUCAAGAGCUCUUAAGGCUCUUCUAUGUAAUAAAGAAUUUAAACCCUUUGGAAUGUCUAGGGGAAGUCCUAAAGUCAAUCACUUUACUUUUGCUAAUGUUAUGAUCAUUCUAUGUAAAGCUGAUUUAACUACUUUGAAAAAGGUAACUGAUACAUUGGAGUAGUAUGAGAAGGUUCCAGGGAAGAAAAUCAAUAAAGAGAAGAGUGCUAGUUAUAUGCAUCAAGGAGUUUCUCAAGGCAAUGUAAUAUUGGCAGAGGUGGCUACUGGUAUUUCUAGAAAGCAAUUCCCUUUCAUUUAUCUAGGGUGUCCAAUUUUUCAUAUAAGGAAUAAGGAGAUUUACCAGUCAAUCAUGCAUAAGAUUAGUAGUAAACUCCAAGGAUGGAAGGGUAAACUACUAUCUUAUGGUGGUAGGGUUGUUCUUAUAAAAAGUGUUUUACAAAGCAUACCUAUUCAUUGUUUAUCUUUGAUGAACCCACCAACUAAUGUCCUAUCAUCUAUCCAAAGAAUGUUUGCUCAGUUCCUUUGGAGCAAUUACAUUAGAGGUAAAAGUAGGCAUUAGGUUAGUUGGAGCAAUAUAUGUUAUCCAGUAGAAGAAAGAGGAUUGGGAUUCAAAAGAUUACAAGAUGUGGCAAUGGCUCUUUUUUAUAAACUCUAGUUGAAUUUUAGAACUGAAGAUUCCAUAUGGAGUAGGUUCAUGCACAACAAGUAUUGUAGGAAACAACAUCCCAGUGCAAUCUAUUGGAAGGUUGGUGUUGGUUCUCAAGUGUGGAAGAAAAUAUUGUAGGCUAGGGAUCUAGUGGAUCAUCAAAUCCUAUGGAAAAUCAGAGGGGCUCAAGCUAAUGUGUGGUAGGAUAAUUGGACAAAUAUUGAAGAUUUGUCUAAUAUCUUCCUCGGGCAAGGAAAUACAGGAAUGCAGGUGAAGGAGCUGGAUGCAGGAUCUCAAUGGAACUACCAUUUAAAGAAUUUUCUCCCUCAGGAGGUUGUUACACAUAUUCAGGAUAAAAUCAGUUUCAGAAUUGAAGAGGGAAGAGUGGACAUUCCAAUUUGGAAACUAGAAACCUCUGGUAAAUUCUUAGUUAAAUCUGCAUGGGAAUAUAUUAGGCAAAACCAGGAGAAGAAUGCAUUGCACAAUAAUAUUUGGUAAAGGGUUUACCUUUUAAAAUAGCCUUCUUAAUGUGCAGACUAUGGAAAGGAAAGGUCCCAAUGUAUUCUUUAAUGAGAAGAUGGGGGUUUGAAGGACCACCAAAAUGUUGGUGUUGUUUGCAGUCGAAUCAAGAAACAAUAUCUCAUGUGUUUCUAAGAUCAAAUUUAGCUAACAUGACAUGGUCCUAUUUUGCUUCAUACGUAGGUAUUCUUAUACAUGGAUUAUCCCUCAGAGAAAAUAUUCUAAGUUUGUGGAGUAAGGAUGUCAAAUAGAGAUUCAAGCUAUGUUAUCAGUCAGUUCCAAGUAUGAUUACAUGGGAAUUAUGGAGGAGAAUAAAUAUCUUGAAACAUGAAAGAAAAUGUAUGUCUCUACAUAAGGUAAUCUUUAAUAUUACCAGAAAUGUGAGCUUACUUCUUCAUGUAAGAAAUCCAAGAACAAAUUUCCCUAGUAUAUGGUCAGAUAUCCUUAAAGCUCUUGAAAGGAGGAAACCAAAAAUGAAGAUUACAAAAGUUAUAUGGACUUUUCCUCAAAUCGGUUGGGUGAUCUAUAACACUGAUGGGGCAUCUAGAGGUAACCCAGGGAUAAGUUUAUAUGCAUUCUGUCUAAGGAAUGAUAAUAGGGACCUAAUUUAUGAAAAAGGUUCUAGAAUGGAUGAUAUUUCUAAUAUGAUAGCAGAGGCUGAAGCUAUCUUACAGGCAGCUAAUCAUGCUAAUGCAACAUAAACAAAUAAGUUAAUCAUCCAAAUAAAUUCUAUGUUGAUGCAGAAAGUACUAAGUAGGAAAUGAAAUUGUCCUUGGCACAUUGCAGAUCAUAUAAAGCAAAUAAGAAAGCUAAUGCAGCACAAGCAAGUUCAAUAUCAACACAUACUGAGGGCGGGGAAUCAGCUGGCAGACUAUCUAACUAAUUUUGCAAUUGACAGUGGGGAUUUUGUUUACACAAGUUUUUAGCAAUUGCAAGCACAUGGAAGAAGGAUAGUGAAUAGUGAUAAAUUACAAUGUCCAUACAUCAGGAUAGGAGCUUUAAGAGAGUAACGGAGCAAAUCUGGUUAGGGUUUGCAAAUAGCUACAAGACAAUACAUAAAUGACAAAUUGAGUAACGAAUGUUCCAGAUCUAGCCCUGACAGUCAACACAGAAGAAGUUCAGCCAAAGAUGAAGGUCAACGUAGAUAUUGGAGUUUGGAAAACCUAGAUUGCAUAUGGAUCUGAGCUUUCCUGGAGCUUUAUUCUUGCAACAAUUAUAAAGAGGGGGUGAAAUUUCAAAGAACAGGGAAAGCUAAGAAUGAAUGUUUGAGGAAAAGGAUGGAUGUGUACUUACUCAAAUUUCAAAUAGUAGCCAUGGAUGUUCUCUUACAACAACACAUAAAGAGAACCUUCAGCUCAUACAUCAGGUGGAAACAGCAUGAGCGAAAGAAUCUCUUAAUUUUGAGAGUUGGCAAGGUCAGAAGCAGGAAUAAACUAUGGCAGAUGAUUUGUAAUCCACAAGAGCAGUAAGGGGAAUGCUUAUCUUUAGAUGGAGAUGAACAAUAAUUCUUAGGUGCAGGAGCUUGUUUUACGGCGAUAAUGGGAUUAGGUUUAGGAAACCUGUACAAAUUUAUGUGUAAUAAUAGAAUAGGGUCGGGUUAUG